rnacentral:rRNA from 1 species
AGUGGCGAACGGGUGAGUAACGCGUGAGUAUCUGCCCUUAGGAGGGGGACAACAGUUGGAAACGACUGCUAAUACCCCAUAUGUCUACGGAUGAAAGAUUUUAUCGCCUGAGGAUGAGUUCGCGUCUGAUUAGCUAGUUGGUGAGGUAAAGGCUCACCAAGGCGACGAUCAGUAGCUGGUCUGAGAGGAUGAUCAGCCACACUGGGACUGAGACACGGCCCAGACUCCUACGGGAGGCAGCAGUGGGGAAUUUUCCGCAAUGGGGGCAACCCUGACGGAGCAAUACCGCGUGCGGGAGGACGGCCUGUGGGUUGUAAACCGCUUUUCUCAGGGAAGAAGACCUGACGGUACCUGAGGAAUCAGCAUCGGCUAACUCCGUGCCAGCAGCCGCGGUAAUACGGAGGAUGCAAGCGUUAUCCGGAAUUAUUGGGCGUAAAGCGUCCGUAGGUGGCGAUUCAAGUCUGCUGUCAAAGCACGGGGCUUAACUCCGUAAAGGCAGUGGAAACUGAAUAGCUAGAGUGCCGUAGGGGUAGAGGGAAUUCCCGGUGUAGCGGUGAAAUGCGUAGAGAUCGGGAAGAACAUCGGUGGCGAAGCGCUCUACUGGACGGCAACUGACACUCAGGGACGAAAGCUAGGGGAGCGAAUGGGAUUAGAUACCCC